rnacentral:lncRNA from 1 species
AUAUUAUCAUAUAAUUCUAACAAUAACUUUGCACUAUCAAUCAAUCAUUUCGUAGUUGACUACAUAAGAGUUUCUUUAGAAAUCUUUACAAAUAAAUUGAAUUAGUAGAUGCUGCUAAAGGGAGUGGUGAAGCCAUACGCAAAAAGGAAGAGACUCGUAGAAUAACAGAGGUAAGCAUACCAACUGUUGAGUCCAAAUAAAAUUAAUUGAUUGAAGAGAUUAUAUAAUAUAUCUUCUAUAUUAGAGUAUACUUUUUCAUAAAUUAGAUUAUUUUUAUAUGUGUAUUCGAUUAAUCACAUUAUGAUUAAAUACAUGUGGUACGAACCCAACAAAUGAGAUAGCAUAUAUCGAUAAUAUUAGGAAAAAAAAAAUCAUUUGAUUGUGCAUAUAGGCACACCAGUUGACAUAUUAACACUCUCUAAACUCGAAUAUAGCCAUUACUCGUGUGUCGAGUGAUUUACCGAUAAGGUGUUAACUCACAGAUACUACCAUUUGUUAACAUAUAAUGCCACUCGCAAUAGUGUUAAUUGCUACAUGAUAAACGUUGUUUGAUAUAUUGCAUAAGAAAUGCCAACUUCUUUUUUUUGGUUAAAAAAAAAAAGAAUAAAGAUGUGCUAACUCAUUUGUAUUAAAUUUUCACUCUGACACAUGUUGGACCUUACCAUAAUAACUUUAAAUUAUAAAGAGUACAGAAAUGUUACCAAAUAUUUUUUAUGCAUCUUAAAAGCAUCAUUUUGUUUUUAAACCAAAACUUGUUCCAACAAAAUCAUCCAAAUUCAUUUGAACCCACAAAUUUUCUACAUGAAAACCCAUUGAGAAUAUCAAAUUUGCCGAUUUCAAAAUUAAGUGAAUGCUUUGGAUAGAUCGACCGGUGAUAGGUUGCGAGACAUCAUCAGAACUUUGAGACAUAAUUUAGGUUUUGUUAGAUCGGCCCAAAAAUUCUACGUUGUUCAAUUGAUUGGAUUACUAUGGGUAAGUAGCACUUUUUUUCUUUAAUUUUUUAGCUUAUAUUUCAUAUUAUUUUGUUGGCCUGCCACGUUAGAUAAAAAAAUGGGUAGAUCUUGAAUUCAUGAAGAUUUUGACUGAUCAUUACAUAAAAAAUUGAGUAGAUCUCGAAUCUAGAAUGAUAUUGACACACAAGCAAUAUAGGGAUAAAAUUAAACCAAAUUCACUGAUUUUUUUAAUUAUUUUUUGUGUAUAAUAAUUUUGAUUCAUGUAUCUGUGCUUAAUUUUUGUGCUGCUUGUUCAUUUGGUUGUUGAGGUAAACCAUAUAUUUUUAAAAUUUUGAAAAAAAGAACAUUAUUUUAUAUAUUUAAUCCUAUAAUAGUAAUUAAUAUGUAACUUAAGAUCUUUAAUUAUUAUAAAUGCUUACUUAUUUUCACAUAAGACGAUUUUUAGUGUUUAUAGAACAUCGUUCCUUAUUCGUCAACUAAUUACCACAUGUACAUAUUAUCAUGAUUGAAUAAAGUAUAUAUAUGAUAAUGAAUGAAUAAAAAAUAAACAGUAAGAAUACCCAUUUUUUUAAAGAAGAUAAUCGACUUUUAAUAACUUAACAAAUUUGAAUUGAUUUAUAGUGCUUAUACUAUAAGUUACAGAUAUGUUGUUGCAGUCAAACUUUAUUAAUUAUUUUUAAUUGACAAACCAUAUGUAUAAGUUACAGAAAAUAAAGCAUGAAAGCAGUGGGUGUAAUGAA